rnacentral:rRNA from 1 species
GGCCAGACUCCUACGGGAGGCAGCAGUGAGGAAUAUUGGUCAAUGGCCGAGAGGCUGAACCAGCCAAGUCGCGUGAGGGAAGACGGCCCUACGGGUUGUAAACCUCUUUUGUCGGGGAGCAAAGCGAGUCACGUGUGACUCAUUGAGAGUACCCGAAGAAAAAGCAUCGGCUAACUCCGUGCCAGCAGCCGCGGUAAUACGGAGGAUGCGAGCGUUAUCCGGAUUUAUUGGGUUUAAAGGGUGCGUAGGCGGACUGUCAAGUCAGCGGUAAAAUACGGGGGCUCAACACCGGCCUGCCGUUGAAACUGGUCUUCUUGAGUGAGCGAGAAGUAUGCGGAAUGCGUGGUGUAGCGGUGAAAUGCAUAGAUAUCGCGCAGAACUCCGAUUGCGAAGGCAGCAUGCCGGCUCCACACUGACGCUGAGGCACGAAAGCGUGGGUAUCGAACAGGAUUAGAUACCCCCGUA